ACUCCUUCCUCAAAAACCCAAACUAAAGGUGUUUUUCCUCCUCACAGUUACAGCUGAGAGCAGGGCUGACUCCUGGAACUUACUUCAACUGCUGCAGAUCAUGCCUUGAGGUUUGGAACUCCAGCAGACCCGGCUGCAGGAGAACUGGGCCGUGGUGUCUGCAGUGAGGAUCUCUAGGGUGCUGAAACUUCAUCUUCUCAACGUGGGUUCAAGCUCACAGCAGCCAAAGUGUGCGGUGAUGCUGCUGGUUCCGAGUGCUGCCUGCAACCUGCAUGCUCGGAUGUUGAAGAGAAAUGAUUGUUCUGUUCCCAGUGUCCUUCCUUGCCUUUGCUGUGCUGCUGGUGACUAGCUCCCAGAGCUGUAACCUUGUCCCUCUCCCACUCAUCUCUCUCCUGAGCUGUUUCCACAUUCUGAAGCACUCUGCUUUCAGUCUGUGUUUUCCCUGCAUGGUAAGAAGGGUUAUAAAAAACCCCAAACAACUAAAUAAAGAUGCCACCUCCGCUGA